GUGCCAGCCGCCGCGGUAAUACAGAGGUGACGAACGUUGUCCGGAAUUACUGGGCGUAAAGGGCGUGUAGGUGGUCAGAUAAGUCAGAUGUGAAAGCUCUGGGCUUAACCCGGGAAUUGCAUUUGAUACUGUUUGGCUUGAGUACGGUAGAGGAGGGUGGAAUUCCCAGUGUAGCGGUGAAAUGCGUAGAUAUUGGGAGGAACACCGGUGGCGAAGGCGGCCCUCUGGACCGAGACUGACACUGAAACGCGAAAGCUAGGGGAGCAAACGGGAUUAGAAACCCGAGUAGUCC
rnacentral:rRNA from 1 species